CACUUGAGUUAACUGAUUUG
rnacentral:misc_RNA from 1 species